UACGUAGGGUGCAAGCGUUAAUCGGAAUUACUGGGCGUAAAGCGUGCGCAGGCGGUUUUGUAAGUCUGACGUGAAAUCCCCGGGCUCAACUUGGGAAUUGCGUUGGAGACUGCAAGGCUAGAAUCUGGCAGAGGGGGGUAGAAUUCCACGUGUAGCAGUGAAAUGCGUAGAGAUGUGGAGGAACACCGAUGGCGAAGGCAGCCCCCUGGGUCAAGAUUGACGCUCAUGCACGAAAGCGUGGGGAGCAAACAGG
rnacentral:rRNA from 1 species